rnacentral:ncRNA from 2 species
UUUGGAUUGAAGGGAGCUCU